rnacentral:tRNA from 1 species
GGGAGUAUAGUUCAGCUGGCAGAACGUCGGUCUCCAAAACCGAAGGUCGGGGGUUCGAAGCCUUCUGCUCCUG